rnacentral:tRNA from 1 species
CGGUAGCUCAGUAGGUAGAGCAGAGGACUGAAAAUCCUCGUGUCGCCGGUUCAAUUCCGGCCUGGA